ACAUUGAGGGUGAUCUGGCUGUGACAUCUGUCACCCCAUUGAUUGCCAGGGUUGAUUCAGCUGAUCUGUCUGGUUAGGCUAGGUGUCCUCUUCCUCCCUCACUGCUCCAUGUGAGGCUCUCUGGAAGUGGUGCACUUAGUUGAAGAGGAUGACCUUCCCUAAAUAGAGGAGUACCUGUCUUCCAUCAAGAGUAUAUGAGUAGCUGAGCUCCCCUGCUAGAACCUCCAAACAAGCUCUUUUCCUUCUUUGGUAUUCUAUUGGUGAUGCUUGUGUCUAGUUCC
rnacentral:snRNA from 1 species